rnacentral:rRNA from 1 species
CCAAUAGCGUAUAUUAAAGUUGUUGCAGUUAAAAAGCUCGUAGUUGAAUUUCGGGAUUUGUCAGUUGGUCGGGCUUCAUUGUCCGUACUGACUUGAUGGAUUCUUACCUUCUGAAUAACCAGCAUGCUAUUAAGUUAGUGCGUUGGGGAAGCAGAUCUAUUACCUUGAAAAAAUUAGAGUGCUUAAAGCAGGCUAGUGCUUGAAUAGAUUAGCAUGGAAUAAUAAAAUAGGACGGCAUGGUUCUAUUUUGUUGGUUUCUAGGAUCACCGUAAUGAUUAAUAGGGAUAGUUGGGGGCAUUAGUAUUCAAUUGUCAGAGGUGAAAUUCUUGGAUUUAUUGAAGACUAACUUCUGCGAAAGCAUUUGCCAAGGAUGUUUUCAUUAAUCAAGAACGAAAGUUAGGGAUCGAAGACGAUCAGAUACCGUCGUAGUCUUAACCAUAAACUAUGCCGACUAGGAAUCGGACGAUGUUAAUUUUUUAAUGACUCGUUCGGCACCUUACG